rnacentral:misc_RNA from 1 species
GUUAUGUGAUCUGAACAUCACAGUUCUAUCACUUGAGCCUGUUGCUAUAGCUGCUCCAUCAGGGCUUGCAUCAAAACUUAAUACCCAGCCUGCAUGACCUGACAUUGCUGUAACCAGACUCUUCCCCUCAGCAUCAUACAUGUGUACAUGAGCAUCAUCUGAUGCAGAAAAGAAAGAGCAUCCGAGGAUUAAUAGGAGAAUAUACAAGAGAACACACAGGCAUGAAAUGACCUUCCAGAUGGUGUUGAAAUUUUGCUCGAGCUACGUCAAAAACAGAAAAUAGUGCCGUACAUUGAGCCACAAGCAAGUCGUCUCCCAUCAGGACUCCAUGCAACUGACAAGACAAACUUCUUGCUGCUAUUCUUAUCUGAUGGCUUGGAUCCUUCUAGACGAGGAAUAGAUAGGGAGGCAAUCAGUUUCCAUGUAGCAGUGUCCCAUAGCUUGACUGAUGCACUACCCCCACCAGCAACUGCGAGAGUGGUACCCUUGGGAUCGAGCUGCAUUUGCCAUAAUUCCGAUGGGGGAGCUUCGAGAGUCGCAGUGCUAGCAUUAAUAUCAACAUCCAAGACUCGAACGAAGCUAGCAAGCGAAGCGGACGCAGCGAUGACGCCUGAGGGAUGCGCCGCCACGGCAACGACCCCGAGGCAGUGGUCGGUGUUAGUGCGCUCGAGGUUAAGCUCGUCGGACUUCCAAAGCUUGACACUCUCGUCAAGCGAUCUGGUGAGAAAGAGCGCGGGUCGGCUGGUGGUGGCGGCGACCCACGUGGCAGCCCAUACAGACUCGUUGUGCGCGUUCUUGAUGGAUCGUAG